rnacentral:tRNA from 1 species
UUAGUAGAGGCCAAAGAGAGGCUUAUUAUUGUUAAUAAUAGAAGUGAGUGAUCCUGCUGUU